GCUUCUCUCCCCGUCCCGGGCCGCGGCUCCUGAUUGUCCAAACGCAAUUCUCGAGUCUCUGGCUCCGGCCGAGAGUUGCGUCUGGACGUCCCGAGCCGCCGCCCCCAAACCUCGAGGGGGAGAG
rnacentral:pre_miRNA from 7 species